UACGAAGGGGGCUAGCGUUGCUCGGAAUCACUGGGCGUAAAGGGUGCGUAGGCGGGUCUUUAAGUCAGGGGUGAAAUCCUGGAGCUCAACUCCAGAACUGCCUUUGAUACUGAAGAUCUUGAGUUCGGGAGAGGUGAGUGGAACUGCGAGUGUAGAGGUGAAAUUCGUAGAUAUUCGCAAGAACACCAGUGGCGAAGGCGGCUCACAGGCCCGAUACUGACGCUGAGGUGCGAAAGCGUGGGGAGCAAACAGG
rnacentral:rRNA from 1 species